CCUUGGGGCCAUCCCUGCUUGUCAAUGCCCAAUCUCAUCAGAGCUUGGAAGCUACGCAAGGCCAGGCCUGCUUAGUAUUUGGAUGGGAGACCACUUGGAAUACCUGGUGCCACAGCGG
rnacentral:rRNA from 1 species